CGGGGUGUAGCGCAGUUGGGAGCGCGCUUGCUUCGGGAGCAAGAGGUCGCAGGUUCAAAUCCUGUCACUCCGA
rnacentral:tRNA from 1 species